AGUGGGAGCGAGCCUGCUCGCGAUGGCGACGGCACUGUCAAAAUCCCCGGUGACUGACCCUCCGCUAUCGCGAGCAAGCUCGCUCCCACA
rnacentral:misc_RNA from 1 species